GUCUCUAAUGGCCUCUGUUUCUCUCAUUCUUGCAAUGGCCAUAAUAUUCUUCAGUCUCCCAUUUCAAAUUUCAGGAAACCAGCAUGUCUCUCCCCCACCACCUCCUUACAAGAAGCCCUAUCACCAUCCCAAUCCACCACCACCACCAUCUCAAAUACUGCACCACCACCCACCCCCUCCUCAUCCACUCCGCCACUCUCCUCCACCGCCAAACAAACCACACAAGUUCACAUCUCCCCCACCACCACUGCACAAGUACCCUCCACCUCACCCACACCACUCACCACCACCACCACCACCCAAAAAGAAACCCUACAAAUACCCUUCUCCACCACCACCACCACCACCCAAAAAGAAGCCUUACCCAGUUCACCACUCUCCACCACCACCGCCACCACCACACAAUAAGCCAUACAAAUAUCCAUCUCCGCCACCUCCUAAGCCAUUCAAACACCCUUCCCCUCCUCCACCUUAUCGCUACUAAAUAGUGCUUUCCUAUUACACCACACGAUACGGAUCUAAAAGCAGAGGAAACCAUGAACUGGAGGAAGCACUUCCAAAUUAUAAUAGAAUAAAAGAGGAAACUUUUCAUAUGUUUUCAUUGGUGUUUGAUUAUUGUUCAGAAUGAAUUUUCUUUUUCUAUUUUUAGUGUGUUCUAUCAUAUUAUAAGGUAUUGUUCCGUCUAUGCAUUUACUUCAUUUCGCCUGCAUCAGUGUAAUUUUUGAAGGUUGUCUGUUCGCGUAUGGCUGGCAAUGCAAUAUAAAAAAUAAAUAUUCUAUGAA